rnacentral:rRNA from 1 species
UACGUAGGGUGCAAGCGUUGUCCGGAAUUAUUGGGCGUAAAGAGCUUGUAGGCGGUUUGUCGCGUCUGCUGUGAAAAUCCGAGGCUCAACCUCGGACUUGCAGUGGGUACGGGCAGACUAGAGUGUGGUAGGGGAGACUGGAAUUCCUGGUGUAGCGGUGGAAUGCGCAGAUAUCAGGAGGAACACCGAUGGCGAAGGCAGGUCUGCUGGGCCAUUACUGACACUGAGAAGCGAAAGCAUGGGGAGCGAACAGG